UAGGGAAUCUUCCGCAAUGGACGCAAGUCUGACGGAGCAACGCCGCGUGAGUGAAGAAGGAUUUCGGUUCGUAAAACUCUGUUGUUAGAGAAGAACAGCGCAUAGAGUAACUGUUAUGCGUGUGACGGUAUCUAACCAGAAAGGGACGGCUAACUACGUGCCAGCAGCCGCGGUAAUACGUAGGUCCCGAGCGUUGUCCGGAUUUAUUGGGCGUAAAGCGAGCGCAAGCGGUUAGAAAAGUCUGAAGUGAAAGGCAGUGGCUCAACCAUUGUAGGCUUUGGAAACUGUUUAACUUGAGUGCAGAAGGGGAGAGUGGAAUUCCAUGUGUAGCGGUGAAAUGCGUAGAUAUAUGGAGGAACACCGGUGGCGAAAGCGGCUCUCUGGUCUGUAACUGACGCUGAGGCUCGAAAGCGUGGGGAGCGAACAGG
rnacentral:rRNA from 1 species